UUGAUUUAAAUCAUUAUGGAUAUACACUUUGAAAAUUGAACCCACACAAAGUAGUGAGACAUAUAUUGAUUUUAUCCAA
rnacentral:pre_miRNA from 1 species